CAAAAGCGCGGGAAUUUUAUGGAAACACCUUACAACAAAAUGAAUGGACACUGUUUCAGUGAGAGAAGAUUGAUAAGGUUAUCAAAGAACCUUUCUAUCAGAAUUGGUAAAACAUUACCAAUUAUAACCGAUGGAGAGUUUUAUUCUGUACACAAAUACCACAGUAAAGGGACAUUCCCUUGGAUUAUACCCAAUGAGAUCCACAUUGAACUUGGACAUACAACUCCAAUCCGAAAGAACUUAGAUGCAACUGUGAAAACAGCACUAGGUGAUAUGCAAAUUAGGACAAAAGAAGAACUUCAGUAAAAUAUGGCAAAACCAGAGAACUAUCUUUCAACAUAUAAGCUUAAUACGAAAAACACGUCUCUAGUGAACUUCCAAUACUAAUUUUCAUUAAGUAUUUCGGAUAAAUGUUUUUUGAUGAUAGAUUAGAUAUAUCAUUAUCA